UACGGGGGGGGCAAGCGUUGUUCGGAAUUACUGGGCGGAAAGGGUUCGUAGGUGGCCAACUAAGUCAGACGUGAAAUCCCUCGGCUCAACCGGGGAACUGCGUCUGAUACUGGGAGGCUAGAGUGCGGGAGAGGGAUGCGGAAUUCCAGGUGUAGCGGUGAAAUGCGUAGAUAUCUGGAGGAACACCGGUGGCGAAGGCGGCAUCCUGGACCGACACUGACGCUGAGGCGCGAAAGCUAGGGUAGCAAACGGG
rnacentral:rRNA from 1 species